UACAGAGGUGGCAAGCGUUGCUCGGAAUCACUGGGCAUAAAGGGCGUCUAGGCGGACCGGUCAGUCGGCUGUGAAAUCCCUCGGCUCACCCGAGGAAGUGCAUCCGAAACUGCCGGUCUUGAGGGCGAGAGGGGAGAGUGGAACUCCUGGUGGAGCGGUGAAAUGCGUAGAUAUCAGGAGGAACGCCGGUGGCGAAAGCGACUCUCUGGAUCGUUCCUGACGCUGAAGCGCGAAAGCUAGGGGAGCGAACGGGAUUAGAUACCCCCGUA
rnacentral:rRNA from 1 species